GAUGAACGCUAGCGGCAGGCCUAACACAUGCAAGUCGAGGGGUAGAGUUCUUCGGGACUUGAGACCGGCGCACGGGUGCGUAACGCGUAUGCAAUCUACCUUAUACAGGGGAAUAGCCCCAGAGAAAUUUGGAUUAAUGCCCCCAUAGUGUUAUCGAAUCGCAUGGUUUGAUAACUAAAGUUCCAACGGUAUAAGAUGAGCAUGCGUCCCAUUAAGUUAGUUGGUAAGGUAACGGNUUACCAAGACAAUGAUGGGUAGGGGUCCUGAGAGGGAGAUCCCCCACACUGGUACUGAGACACGGACCAGACUCCUACGGGAGGCAGCAGUGAGGAAUAUUGGUCAA
rnacentral:rRNA from 1 species